UUUAGCCAAUGACUGUCGAAGGGGCGGUGCAAUCAGGUCCCUAACCUGCUGGGCCUGCCGCCAGAGGGUCCCGUCCAGGCUGCUGCAGGAGCAGCCCCAGGAACCAGGCCGGACCGCGAGAAGCCGAGGGAAGGGGAGUCGCGGGCUUCAGGCUUCAGAAAGAAGCGAGGCAGGGGAAAUCCCUUCUGGAAGGAGGGGUUGAGGAGGUGUCUGGCCGAGGGUGAGUCUUCAAGAGGGCGGGACAUUAACGCUGUGAUGUGAAGCUCUGCCGGUGUUUUUCUACAGUUCACACAAUCACCAGAAAGCCCGUGUCUUGGCACCAGAACCUGGAGGAACCUGCAGACGAUGGGGCCGGGAGUGGAGACCUCAUACCGUGCCGAUGGAGACAGACAA